rnacentral:tRNA from 1 species
CCAUAGCUCAGCGGUUAGAGCAGCGGACUCAUAAUCCGUGGGUCCUGGGUUCAAAUCCCCGUGGG